GUGUGUGUGUGUGUGUGUGUGAUUGUGACGGCAUCAAUGCGGAAUUUCCGAGAACGUCGCAAAAAGAGAAAAAGGUCGACGUAGCAAAUGUAUAUUAUGAUCGUCUCCGCGAUGACGUUCCCCCACAUCGUGGAAAUAUGGGCAGGGCCCGCGUCCUGUUCUGGUUUGCAGAGAAAGGGUGGAGCUCCUCCGCGCGGAAGGGAUGGUUUCGGGGGUAAAGGCUCAAUUACGUUCGUGUCGGAUGGUCAUAUAAAUAGCGAUCGCUGCUUGACGGUUUAUUGUCAAAACUGCAACACUCCGCUGAGGAUCCUACGAUACGCUCGUCUCCCGUCGACCGCGUCCAGACGACUUCAACGCCAUAUUUCCUUGCCGACUUUGAAACGUUCGCUUCAGACCAGUUUUCCAUAAGACGAAAUGAUGUCUUCGGGCUGCACGUCGAAAUCUACCGACUACUAUCAUCAGAUGAGGCAGAAGAACAACGAGGCGGCCAGGAACAGCCGUUUCAAGAAGAAGGUGGCCGAGAUCGAGAUAUCCGCCCAGAAACGCAAGCUGGAGGUGACGUACGUUCAGCUGAAGAAGGAGAUCAAACGCAUACAAGUGAAGGCGUCGUAACUUGCGAGCGCGUUCAGGCUUAUUCGAGAUCAUGGCUGCAAUAUGGAAUUAUUAUUUUCAACCGCAAGACACGUUAAAUCAUGCAAAAGGAUUCUGUUGAAUUUCUAGUCAAAUGCAUUGUACACCGUUCAAUAUUUUGACUGUCAAUUAAACAGAAAUGAUAAAACAACACAAAUGUAGAAAACGAUAUUUUCAUAUUGACAUUUCGUUUUAAAAAUUUAACAUUGUACACUGAUU